rnacentral:misc_RNA from 1 species
GAUGAAGAACGCAGCGAAAUGCGAUAAGUAAUGUGAAUUGCAGAAUUCAGUGAAUCAUCGAAUCUUUGAACGCACAUUGCGCCCCCCAGUAUUCUGGCGGGCAUGCCUGUUCGAGCGUCAUUUCAACCAUCAAGCCCUGCUUGUGUUGGGGUCCUGCGGCUGCCCGCAGGCCCCGAAAACCAGUGGCGGGCUCGCUAGUCACACCGAGCGCAGUAGCACAUCUCGCUCAGGGCGUGCGGCGGGCUCCAGCCGUUAAAGCACCCACCUUUCGCAAGGUUGACCUCGGAUCAGGUAGGAAUACCCGCUGAACUUAAGCAUAUCAAUAAGCGGAGGA